CUUCAGCGGUUACUUCUGAUCGCUGACGUGAAGCCAAGUGAAUCAGGGCAACAUCCUGUCUUCUGAAGCUAACCAAAAUUCUGUUUUGAGAUCGUUUUAAAAACCAGGAAAAUGGAGGUGUCCACUCAAGCCGUCCUGUCUUUGUUCAGAAGCAAGUGGAGAGUUGAGCCAUGGAGCUGAUGGAGUCAAAGAAAGAAUGUGAGUAGAGAGAGGUGCUACUGUGUCUAAAAUAUCAAUGAGGGAGAUGCUGCCAAGUUUUGGUGCACACAGAGGGGAACAGGUCCUCUGUUAACAAAGAGUAGACCAGGCAGCUCUUCUCUGCUUUAUUUUGUGAUUAUCUCUACCCUUAUAGUGGAAGAUUUUAUUCUGUUUCAACCUACAAACUUUACUCAUUGUCUUUUCCUCAUUCCCCCAGUGUUUACACAUAACAGGCUAUCAGGGAGAGAGCUGCUUUAAAGUUUAGGCGACCACAGCAUCUGUCAUUCAGUCAUACUUUACAGCUGAACAAUACACUGGAACGCUGUGUGUUUGCCCAGGUGAGUCUUUAAUGUGGAACUCUGCAGAAAACAUGCC